CUUCAGUAUGUUGAUGACAAUGUAGUGUGUGCACACUGAGAGGAUGACCUCCAAACCAUCCUAAAUAUCUUCACAGAAGCUUAUGAAGAGAUGGCCUGUCGCUCAACAUCCAAAAAACCAAAGUGCUGCAUCAACAAGCACAAAACAACCCUUCAGCAGCACCACAAAUCCAGCUCAAUGGUGUAACAUUGGAAGGUGUCAAUCACUUCUCCUACCUAGACAGUUAUCUUUCCACAAGGAAAGAUAUUGAUGCCAAAAUCCAGCAUCGCCUGAACUCUGCGAGUGCAGCUUUCUCCCAAUUGAAGCGCAGAGUGUUUGAGGACCGGGACAUUCUCAGGGAAACCAAAAUGCUUGUUUACAAAGCUACUGUACUACCAACCUAAAAUGGAAAGUGUAAUGCUCGUGGUCAACAAAAGAGGUUUAAAGACUCUCUUUUUUUUUUUAUAAAUGAUAUUUAUUCCAGAUUUAAAGUUCCAAAAAAGAAAAAGAAAAACCAUACAAAAUACAAAGAAAGCUUUAACCAUAACAAAGCAAGAAAUAAACAAGUAAAAAAAAGAACAAUAGGAUAGAAUAAAAAAGAAAACUUGACAAAAAAAUAUAAAAAUACAUUAAGUUAAAAUAAAACAAAAACAGAUUAAACCUUUACAUAGCCUUUUCCCUUUACUUAUUUCCACGACCUCCUCUCACCUCCCAGUUUUGUAUUCUAGUUCAGAUCGUGUUUCCAGCAAAUCCUUCUAACCUUAUUUUCAUUUACGUAUUUUAAAAUUAAAAUAAUGUGAUUAGACCUCCUCUAAUUCAUCGAUUUCAUCAACUCAUUUUUGCUUAGUCCAUUAUAUCAUAUCUACCAGAACGACCUAAUAUUCUUUUUCCAACCUCCUUCUAACAUUCUUUUAUAUUGCAGUACUUUUGAAGAUAUAUUUUGAAUUUUUUCCAAUCUUCUUCCAUUGACCCUUCUCCCUGGUCUCGAAUUCUGCCGGUCAUCUCAGCCAGUUCCAUGUAGUCCAUCACUUUCAUCUGCCAUUCUUCUUGGGUGGGCAAUUCUUGUGUCUUCCAGUACUUCCCGAUGAGUAUUCUUGCUGCUGUUGUAGCAUACAUAAAAAAAGUUCUAUCCUCCCUUCGCACCUAUUGGCCGACCAUGCCCAGAAGAAAGGCCUCUGGUUUCUUCAGAAAGGUAUAUUUAAAUGAGGUUUAAAGACUCUCUCAAGGCAAAUCUAAAACAAGUAGUCUAAACACCAGCAAUUGGGAAACACUGGCCUGCAAGCUCUCCAAAUGGAGAACAGCCUUUACCAAAGGUGUCAUGGGCUUUGAAGACGCUCAAACUCAGGACAAAAGGGAGAAACAUGCUAAGAGGAAGGCAUGUUCGUCAAACCCUCACCGUGAUCAACUCCCGCCUGGAAACCAAUGUCCCCACUGUGGAAGGAUGUGUGGAUCCAGAAGUAGCCUCCACAGUCACUUACAGACUCACUGUUAAGACCAUGUUCAUGGAAGACAAUCUUACUCGGCCACAAGUGAUCUCCAAAGAAGAAGAAAGAAGUAUUAGUACUAGAUUAAAACAUUACAAAAAAAGGGGGGCUACAAUUAUACAAUCAAUAUCCAAUCAAUUAAUUGACUAAUCUUUUUUAAAAAAUUGGUCAAAUAAAACAGUCCCCCAAUUAAUCAGAAAGUUUUUAUUUGAUACAUGUAAUUUAAAAAUCUCAGAUGACAAGCCCUGCCUUAACAGUGUGAUUGCAAGUCCCACUGAGUUCAUCUGGACUUACAAUCUGUCCAUUUGUUUUCCAUA
rnacentral:lncRNA from 1 species